AUGCCGUGGUGGGGGCAUGCUGCAAUGUACUCCUGGAAUUUCUCCCAAGCUUUCGGAAUGGCUUCAUCCGACAGCUACUGAAAUCCAGAGAUUUUGCUUCGGAGGGC